AUCCUGUCUACCAACAGUGGCCAAUGCCAGGUGCCCGAGAGGGAGUGAACCUAACAGGUGCUUAUGGCAGAGUGUCUCACAGACCACCUCCCCUCCUACUGGCCAUCUCAUAGCAACCUUGUGGCAACUACAGAAGAUGCUUACAUUAAAAAGCUGGAAAUGAGGACAGCUAGCACCAUGUGACCAACCAACUCUAUACAGACCAUCACCACUGUGACGAACAUGGUAUAAGGAUCUGAACAGAAGGGCUCAACGGACUACCAGUAGUCAACUGUAAUACUAAUAUCAGUGCUAACCCAUAUUUGUAUGGAAUUUUUCAAAAAUUAUUCAUGUUCCAGUAUGCAAAAUUCAUAUUCUAUACUAAUUGCUACAUUAUCUAUUAUAUCUUUAAGAUGCAUACAAAUGUAAAAUAUAUGUUAUAA